rnacentral:rRNA from 1 species
AGAGUUUGAUCCUGGCUCAGAACGAACGCUGGCGGCGUGCCUAACACAUGCAAGUCGAACGGAGAUAAGGGGCUUGCUCCUUAUUUUAGUGGCGCACGGGUGAGUAACGCGUGGAUAAUCUACCUUGGAAUCUGGGAUAACAUCUCGAAAGGGGUGCUAAUACCGGAUAAGACCACGAGCUCUUCGGAGUUUGCGGUAAAAGGGGGCCUCUGUAUAUGCUUCUGUUUCAAGAUGAGUCCGCGUACCAUUAGCUAGUUGGCAGGGUAAUGGCCUACCAAGGCGACGAUGGUUAGCUGGUCUGAGAGGAUGAUCAGCCACACUGGAACUGAGACACGGUCCAGACUCCUGCGGGAGGCAGCAGUGGGGAAUUUUGCGCAAUGGGGGAAACCCUGACGCAGCAACGCCGCGUGAGUGAUGAAGGCCUUCGGGUCGUAAAGCUCUGUCAGAGGGAAAGAAGUGUGGGAGGGUUAAUACCCCUUUCACUUGACGGUACCCUCAAAGGAAGCACCGGCUAACUCCGUGCCAGCAGCCGCGGUAAUA